GACGAACGCUGACGGCGUGCUUAACACAUGCAAGUCGAACGGAAAGGCCCUGCUUUUGUGGGGUGCUCGAGUGGCGAACGGGUGAGUAACACGUGAGUAACCUGCCCUUGACUUUGGGAUAACUUCAGGAAACUGGGGCUAAUACCGGAUAGGAGCUCCUGCUGCAUGGUGGGGGUUGGAAAGUUUCGGCGGUUGGGGAUGGACUCGCGGCUUAUCAGCUUGUUGGUGGGGUAGUGGCUUACCAAGGCUUUGACGGGUAGCCGGCCUGAGAGGGUGACCGGCCACAUUGGGACUGAGAUACGGCCCAGACUCCUACGGGAGGCAGCAGUGGGGAAUAUUGCACAAUGGGCGGAAGCCUGAUGCAGCAACGCCGCGUGCGGGAUGACGGCCUUCGGGUUGUAAACCGCUUUCGCCUGUGACGAAGCGUGAGUGACGGUAAUGGGUAAAGAAGCACCGGCUAACUACGUGCCAGCAGCCGCGGUGAUACGUAGGGUGCGAGCGUUGUCCGGAUUUAUUGGGCGUAAAGGGCUCGUAGGUGGUUGAUCGCGUCGGAAGUGUAAUCUUGGGGCUUAACCCUGAGCGUGCUUUCGAUACGGGUUGACUUGAGGAAGGUAGGGGAGAAUGGAAUUCCUGGUGGAGCGGUGGAAUGCGCAGAUAUCAGGAGGAACACCAGUGGCGAAGGCGGUUCUCUGGGCCUUUCCUGACGCUGAGGAGCGAAAGCGUGGGGAGCGAACAGGCUUAGAUACCCUGGUAGUCCACGCUGUAAACGGUGGGUACUAGGUGUGGGGUCCAUUCCACGGGUUCCGUGCCGUAGCUAACGCUUUAAGUACCCCGCCUGGGGAGUACGGCCGCAAGGCUAAAACUCAAAGGAAUUGACGGGGCCCCGCACAAGCGGCGGAGCAUGCGGAUUAAUUCGAUGCAACGCGUAGAACCUUACCUGGGUUUGACAUGGAUCGGGAGCGCUCAGAGAUGGGUGUGCCUCUUUUGGGGUCGGUUCACAGGUGGUGCAUGGCUGUCGUCAGCUCGUGUCGUGAGAUGUUGGGUUAAGUCCCGCAACGAGCGCAACCCUUGUUCACUGUUGCCAGCACGUUAUGGUGGGGACUCAGUGGAGACCGCCGGGGUCAACUCGGAGGAAGGUGGGGAUGACGUCAAGUCAUCAUGCCCCUUAUGUCCAGGGCUUCACGCAUGCUACAAUGGCUGGUACAGAGAGUGGCGAGCCUGUGAGGGUGAGCGAAUCUCGGAAAGCCGGUCUCAGUUCGGAUUGGGGUCUGCAACUCGACCUCAUGAAGUCGGAGUCGCUAGUAAUCGCAGAUCAGCAACGCUGCGGUGAAUACGUUCCCGGGGCU
rnacentral:rRNA from 1 species